GACGAACGCUGGCGGCGUGCUUAACACAUGCAAGUCGAACGGAAAGGCCCUGCUUUUGUGGGGUGCUCGAGUGGCGAACGGGUGAGUAACACGUGAGUAACCUGCCCUUGACUUUGGGAUAACUUCAGGAAACUGGGGCUAAUACCGGAUAGGAGCUCCUGCUGCAUGGUGGGGGUUGGAAAGUUUCGGCGGUUGGGGAUGGACUCGCGGCUUAUCAGCUUGUUUGUGGGGUAGUGGCUUACCAAGGCUUUGACGGGUAGCCGGCCUGAGAGGGUGACCGGCCACAUUGGGACUGAGAUACGGCACAGACUCCUACGGGAGGCAGCAGUGGGGAAUAUUGCACAAUGGGCGGAAGCCUGAUGCAGCAACGCCGCGUGCGGGAUGACGGCCUUCGGGUUGUAAACCGAUUUCGCCUGUGACGAAGCGUGAGUGACGGUAAUGGGUAAAGAAGCACCGGCUAACUACGUG
rnacentral:rRNA from 1 species